AUGUAUCAGUGCCAACUUUGCAAGAGAGAGCCUGAGUCCGCGGUGCACAUCCUCUUCAAGUGUAGGUUUUCCCUCAGAAUUUGGGCAGCAGUCAAGGCAUGGAUCGACAUGCCUGAAUUAAAUAAUGUGAUUUGGGGAGGCUUACGCACGGUCCAGGCCUGGUGGACAACGACGGUUCUUAUGCAUGGACAUAGGAGAAAGGCUAUUUCAUCACUUCUCAUGCUUGUCACAUGGGAGAUAUGGAACGAGCGAAACGCUCGAGUUUUUCGCAACAAGUCGAAUAUGCCUACUUUACUAUUAGAUAAUGUCAAGCGGGAGGCAAGAACUUGGGGCCUUGCCGGGGCGAAACAUGAAGGAAAUAUGCCCUAG
rnacentral:rRNA from 1 species